rnacentral:lncRNA from 1 species
UUUUUUUAUUUUUUCACUUUUUUUAACUGUUCAUAAUUGCUGUUGAAACACUUUUAUCAUGGCUGCUUAGAAUCUUUGUCAGAUAAUUCUAAAACCACUGUCAUCUCAGUGUCAGCAUCUAUAGAUUGCCUUUUUUCAUCUAGUUUGCUAUCUCCCUGUUUUCCAUAUGAGUGGUUUCUGAUUGAAUCUUAGACAUGUUCAUGUUAUGAGACUGGAUCUUAUUUAAACCUGUUUUAGCUGGCUUUUUUUGACAUAGUUCUGGCAGGUGAAACAGAAGGAAUGCCACUUCAUGGCUCCUUGGUGAAGGAAUAAGUCCAGGUUCUGCCACCCAGUCAAUGAAAAGGGGGUGGGGGUGGGGUUCCUUUGUUACUGCUGGGCAGACGUGGGCAUUCCAGGUUCUCACGUGGUCAUCACUGACACUGUAGUGCUUGCUGUGGCUUGGUGAAAGUCCUGACCCUUCAUUAGGCCUCCUCUGAUACCACCCCAUCAAGAGGAGGAUAGGUACCUCAUUACUACUUGGAGGAGGUACACUUUCAGGCUUACGAACCUGGAGUUAGUAAGUUCUGGAGCUGAGACUCAGACCCAAAUAUCUUGGUCUCCAAAGCCCAAGGUCUUAACUGCUCCAUCAUAAUGGCAGAAACCAUGAUUAUAACAUCAUACAAAUACUUUUAUAUGCGGCCAAAUACUGGAAAGUUAGGGAGCCAUGAGAAUAGUUAUUCUCCCAGAAGGAAAUUAAAGACUCUUUUUAUUUUUUAAAAUCUUUUAAAGUACUUUUGCGUCCAGGGAAAUGGAAUAGACAUGUUGUUAUCUAUUCCUCCCACUAGGUACUUCUAAAAACUCUGCAAGUUUUAAAUAAACCAAAAUAUAAGAAAGGUAGAGAGAAGAAGGCAGACAGGGUAGAAACUUCAAGACUUGAGAAGUGACAGUAGUGCAUUCUUUGGUUUAUGCUAAUCUUCAUAAGCUUAAAUUUCUUCAUCUAUGAAAUGGGGAUAGUAAUAGUCCCUCACGAGGUUGUUAAAAGGAUUCAAUGAGAUAAUGAAUGUUAAAUACUUGUCAUAGGGGUUGGCCUAUAGGAAGCAAUUAAUGUUAGAACUAUCAUUGUCAUCAGCUGUCAUAUACAAUUUUGGGUCCAAGCACUGGCUUUUAGCAAGGAAAUCCCUGUUUCCAGGGAGCUGUUUCUAUCAUUUUCAAGUUUGCCAUUUCUAUUUGGAUUGAUUCCACUAAUAUCUAUGAGGCUAUAGUUUUUUGCUGUUGUUGUUUUUGGUUUUGUUUGUUUGUUUGUUUGUUUGUUUGUGGUUUUUUUGGCCACUCCUCUGCAGCAUAUGGAGUUCCCAGGCCAGGGAUCAGAUCCAUGCUGCAGUUGCGACCAAGACCACAGCUGCAGCAAUGCCGGAUCCUUAACCCACUGUGCUGGGCUCCAGCACUCCAGAAAUGCUGCUGAUCCCAUUUUGCCACAGCAAGAACUCUGAAGCUUCGAAUUUUGAAGCUUCUUUCUAAAGCUAUGUUGUCCAACUGCUCUAAAGGACAGUCCACUGGUUCUGUCAGAAUGAUCUGGAGCCCUUCUUACAAAUACAAAUUUCUGGGACCUAUCAACCAACUGAAUCAGAAAGUCUUUGGUAGAUUCACUCUAAUCCCUUUCAUUCUUAACAUUCCUGGACUCUUUUCUCUUUGCUAAUGCAUUUGCUUUCUUGCUGACUUCUGUAAUUUGGAAUGCUUCUGUCUUACUUGCUUCUGAAAUUCUGGUUUAAUAAAACUUCCUUCAAGAAAGGAAUAAAUUCUCCUAUUAAGAUUCCUUUAAAAAGUCAAAUAGUGGCAUUAGUAUUGUUUUGCUUCUAUUUGAAGGCUAAAUUAUGUAAAUCAAACAACUCUUAAUAACAUUUAAAAGUUGAAUUAAGGGAGACCUCAGAUCCAUCAUCUUGAAGCUAUUUGUGAAGGCUCAUAUUACCAGCCACUCUAAAAUAUUUAAUGCUAGAAUAUCUGUGCUGAAUAUUUUCCAUUUGUCCUUCCAGAUCCAUUCACUUCUCUUUUUCAUCCUGCUGAGAGCUUCAGGAGACUGACCUUUGUGGACUGCAUUAACCACCCUCUGGCAGUUGGUCUGGGUCAGUGGGAAGCACCCCAGUAAAUCAGAGGGUGAGUAGAAAUCAUCAAGGUCAAGUUGUUCAUUUCCAGUUCCCUUUCUGCUGGGUCACCAUGGGUUGACUAUGUCCCCCUUCCAAAGGUCACAGCGCCUAUCAGGUAGCCCUUUCUGACAACUGUCUCUCUGAGUUCCAUGAUAUCUGGCACACACACGCCCCUGUUGGCUUUUCAGGCCUAGAAAUGAUACCAUCGUUGCUAGCUAGCUCUGGAUACUAUACCAUCCCCUGUUAGCUGCCCUUAACACUGUCAUAUCUUUGUAAAUAUCCCCUCUAUUAAGCACUCCUCAUCAUGCUCAAGACUAAGACCGUGAGUGAGAGAAGAUCCUAUCCAAUGCUUUGUUUUCUUUCAACAUCCCAAAGGCAAUUUCCACAAGCCUUUUAUUUUUAAAAGUGAACAAAUGUGUGAUCAACAAGUUUACCUUUAUACAAGUAUCAACAGGACUUCAAGAGAGAUACAAUUAGCAAAGUGAAUAUGUGGGAAAGUAUUCAGUAUUGACCCUCAAUUGUUAUCAAAACACAAAUUAAGCAAUAAACUUUACUUUCCGCCAGUCAGUUCCUAUUAUGAUGGCAAAAAUACAAAAUAUUAAUGAAAUUAGCAGUUCUGGUGAGGAUAUGGUAACUGGUAUGCUCAUACUUUAUUAACAGGUCUGGAAACUAUGUGAACUGACUCAACUCUUAUAAAGUCAUUCAGCAGUAUAUUUUGAAAAUCAGUCACUAUUCAUAUCCUUUGACACACUAAUUCUGCUGCUGAUAGUUUAUCUAAAAGAAGAUAAUUUAUAAAAAUUAAAGGGCUACAUUAAUGUUUAAGUUAAUUAGGCCAUCAUUUUAAAUAGAGCAAAAAAUUUGGAAACCACUUCGACGUCCACUGAUUGUAAAAUUGUUGAAUAAAGAAAAUGAUAAUUAAGAAAAUUAACUAAGAGAGAUCAUUUCUAGGGUAUAAUGCUAAGUUCAAAAGCGCACUUCAAAAUUGUAGUGAUGCUACAGUUAUGUAAAAUGAUAAAUGCAUGCAAUCAAGGACUAAAAUGGAAUCAUUAAAAUAAAAAUAAUUGAUUUUUAAGACGAUAGAAUUAUGGUUGAGUAUUUCUCCUUUUCAUUCAUUUUAUCUCUAUAACUAAUUUUUAAGGGGGUCAAAGGAUACCUCACUGAAAUAAUACAUAUAUAUAUACAAUAUAGUAUGUAAUACAGCAGCAUAAUAUACUCUACUAUGCACCAUUACAUACCAUACCACAUGGCAUUAUAUUAGGCACUUACCUACAGCAUAGAAACAAUGCAAUCCUCAUUUUAUACAUGAGGAAACUGAGGCUCUAAGAGGUUAUGUAAACUUGCUCAAGACCACCAUGUAAAUAAAAAGUGGAGCUCAGGGUCAGGACUAAAGCCAUUGUCGGCUAUAAGAUCUGGCCCCUGACCCAAUGCACUCUUCCAGAGUCUUUCAUCCUCUAAUUUCAUAAUACAGUUCCUGCCUUUUCUGCUCCUCUGACGGUCCCUGCUAAAUCCCCAAGAGCAUGAGCCUGGCAUGUAGGUAUUUCCACGGUUUGAUUCUUGGCUUUCUCCCUCUUUAGACUUCAUCCCUUACAGCACUGAGUUAUUCCCAGAGUUGUAAAUGCAUCUGUCUGUAGACUAGACCCCUGCAUUCUCUUGCAUUUGGAACCUACAUUUCCACCUGCCCAGUAGACCUUCACAUAUGUUGGCAUUUCAACCUAAACAUGUCCAAGACCAGAACAUCCUCUUCCCUCAAAGUACAGCCUUGGCCCCCUGACCUUCUGCUUCCAUUAGUGAUACCAUCAUUCUCCCCAGUGACCUUGGCGUAAAACCUCUUUGAAUUCCUCCCUGUUUAUACCACCCUCAUAUUCGAUCACUUGCCAAGGCACUCUGAUUCUUGCCUCACAUUGUUUACUGCAUCCUUCCCCAUCUUUUCCAUUCCCACUGCUUCUCUCCAAGCACUGGUCUCAUAAACUUUCAAUUGAACUGUCAUAAUCCUCACAAUUAGGUUGGACUCAUAAGUUCUCACCACUAGUUUUUGCACCAGAUGUACACAUACACAUACACAUAUUCCCAGGCUCAAAGCACACCUACUGAAUCAGAACUUUUAGAAGUUCAAUAAAGUUGGGGGAUUUUUUAACAUCUCCAUGUGAUUCUGAUUUGUAGCCAGGUUGAAGAGUCCCUGACCGAAUGAUUCCUUGCCUCUAGUUUUUUCUUGAAGGACCUUCUCCCCAAAUGUUGAUCUAGGUUGUACAUUGCUUUCAGAAAUCUUUCUAAAGCAUCUGCUUACAUUAUUCUUUUCAAAGAACUCCAAUGACUCCUCACUAUCCCUGCAGCACCUUCCUGCUAUCAGACAUCAUGGCAGAAGAGGGGAGGGAGGAAUCCUAGAUUAACUUCAACCGGGUCCUUUAAAGCAGAAUUCUCAGCCUUUAAUAAACAAUUAUACAGUGUUAAUUUUCAAGAGGGAGAGAUAUAUGUAUAGUUCCCAAGUUUAUCUGAUCAUGGUACCCCUCUUUUGUGAAACAUCUCAUUACUCUAGGGUUCUAAGAAAGCCUUUGGGAAAUUCAUCUAGCACAGGGUGAAUUCCAAACUCCUGAACCUGGCCUAAGGCAGUCUGUGAUCAAACCUUAGUCUGCCUUUCCAGCUUUGUCAUGCACAACUCACAAAUACCCUACCCAGAGUGAAUUGAACGUCUAUCAAACCACCUUGUUCUUUCUCUCUUGAGGUAGAAAGGGCUUUAUCAUGACAGUCAAACAGGAAUCCACCACUCUGAACUCCUGUCCUCUCAGUCCACAGGACCAUACCUAUUUAUCAAACUAAAAUGUUAAUGUGAUUUAAACUCGAUCUUUAACUGGAAAAGAAGUCUCAGUUUCCCUUCUAUUCUGAAGAAUGGGAUAUAUGAUGCAUGUGUAAAUAUGCUUACAUGCACAUUCACAGAUGUGUGCACAUGAAGGAAGUCUUGAGUAUUUGGAGCUGCAGGGUAUGAAACUGACUUUUGUCCUUGAUGUUCUUAUUGGUGUACUAGAGAAACUUAUUAAACUGUUGGGAAAUAAUGGCAUUAAUAUGACCAGGAGUUAUCCAGACAGACUCCAUAAAGUUAUCUUCUUCUACUCUGUCUCUGCAAAGUUGAGACCACCAGACAAAUAGCUCCUUGACUUUUGAGUCACAGUGACCACCAAAAGCAACUCAAGGAUUAAAAAAGGAAUUUCUCUUAAGAGAAAGAGUUUCUCUUAGCAGUUAGCUUUCUUUCUUAUGGUUAAUCAGAUCCUCAGGAUAUUUGAAAAUUGACCUUCCUCAAAUCCUAAGUGCAGUGAUUUAUUGGGACAAUUGAGCCACUCUAAUUUAGAACCAGUUUCCUUAGAUAAGCACCCAUGACAAGAACAUUAGGUAAUGUGUAUCAGUGCUUCCAUUGUGUGAAACAGAAACCAAACUACAGUGCCUAAAACAAGCAGCCUAAAACAAGCACAGUGGUUAAUGAUUGCAAAAGAAUUGUGGAGAUGGCACUUCAUGUUAGCCACCCAAGGGUCCUUGAUAACAUCUAAGACCAGAUUCCUAACUUUCUGCUUUGCCAUCAUUAGCAUGUAGCUUCUGCCCUCUUUAUGCCCAUGCACAGUAAGAAAGAAGAAGAACAAAGAACUAAAGACACAGUGGCUUUUCUGAAAGCCACAUCAACUAGACUUCCAUUUAAAUCUCAUUGGUCAGAACUACAUUGCAAGACUACCUUGACAGCCAGGAAGUCUGGGGAACAGAGCUUUUUUGCUAGCAAGUAGCCACCACUCCAAAUUGGUUCUUUUUGUAAAGAAGAUGGGGUAGGGGGUGUUAGAUAUUAGGUAAUAAGCUGGAAGUGCCUCACAUAAAGGAAGCACCAAGCUACCUGCAUUGGCAGGCAGAGUCCUUGUAACUUCUAUAUGGAUGUAACCAAAUAAUCAGGCAUCUAAAAAACAUUUAAAUAAAUGCCUGGCUCUGUUUACCUGCCUGUAUUACAAUAUGCAUGUAUACUUAUCAUAUUUUUGAGAGUUCAUUCUCUGUAUAUAAUGCUUAGCAAAUUGCUCACUCAGGGAUUACUGAACAUUCCUGAGAUCUUCUAGUUACUAAGCAUUUAAAAACGAAGUCUCAGGAGUUCCUGUCAUGGCUCAGUGGUUAAUGAAUCCGACUAGGAACCCUGAGGUUGCAGGUUUGAUACCUGGCCUUGCUCAGUGGGUUAAGGAUCCGGCACUGCCGUGAGCUAUGCUGUAGGUCGCAGACGUAGCUUAGAUCUGGUGUUGCUGUGGCUCUGGCAUAGUCCGGCAGCUAACAGCUCCGAUUGGACCUUAGCCUGGGAACUUCCAUAUGCCGCGGGUGCAGCCCUAUAAUAGACAAAGAAUAAAAAAUAAAUAAAUAAAACAAAGUUCCAGUAAAUAAAAUAUAAAGCAUAGUGUGUGCUAAAAAUUGAAGCUAUUAUAAAAGCUGAUCUGGAAGAGCUGCUUUUGCCCAGGGACAAAAAGAGUGGUAGACAAUUGAGUGACAAGUUUUUUAGUGAGUUCCACUAAUUCAUGCAUUUACACACAGCAAGAAAAAGGGAAGAACUGUCUUCCUUAUCUUGCUGUUACUGAAUCCACUAUAGUUUUUUAACAGAAAAUGUUUUAAAGGAGUCCAAAGUGAGCUGACCAUGUAAUAAAUGACUUGGAUUUAAGAAUUUGGGCAAGCUUUACACAUAAUCUUCCCAACAAGGCAGACAAAAGAAAUGUUAACAAGGAAAUAACUGGGCCAGUGAAAAAGAACAACUCAUUCCUUCUGUAAAGAUCCAAAAGAAAUAAUCAUUAAAGAUACAAUCACUUUCCAAAUUGCUUUAUUGUCAUGCAAGGCUUUCAGGAGCUUUGCACUCAUGUGGCAUGACAGAAAAGCCAAGGGAACUGAAAUGGCGUCCUUCUCCCUCCAUGACUCAGGCUGGGUAGUUCUUUUCAACAGCA